rnacentral:rRNA from 1 species
GUGGGGAAUUUUGGACAAUGGGCGCAAGCCUGAUCCAGCCAUGCCGCGUGAGUGAAGAAGGCCUACGGGUUGUAAAGCUCUUUCGGCGGGGAAGAAAUGGCACGCUCUAACAUAGCGUGUUGAUGACGGUACCCGCAUAAGAAGCACCGGCUAACUACGUGCCAGCAGCCGCGGUAAUACGUAGGGUGCGAGCGUUAAUCGGAAUUACUGGGCGUAAAGCGUGCGCAGGCGGUUUCGUAAGACAGAGGUGAAAUCCCCGGGCUCAACCUGUGAAUGGCCUUUGUGACUGCGAGGCUAGAGUGUGACAGAGGGGGGUAGAAUUCCACGUGUAGCAGUGAAAUGCGUAGAGAUGUGGAGGAAUACCGAUGGCGAAGGCAGCCCCCUGGGUUACUACUGACGCUCAUGCACGAAAGCGUGGGGAGCAAACAGGAUUAGAUACCCUAGUAGUCC